rnacentral:rRNA from 1 species
UACGGAGGGUGCGAGCGUUGUCCGGAAUCACUGGGCGUAAAGGGUGCGUAGGCGGGUCUUUAAGCCAGGGGGGAAAUCCUGGAGCUCAACUCCAGAACUGCCUUUGAUACUGAAGAUCUUGAGUUCGGGAGAGGUGAGUGGAACUGCGAGUGUAGAGGUGAAAUUCGUAGAUAUUCGCAAGAACACCAGUGGCGAAGGCGGCUCACUGGCCCGAUACUGACGCUGAGGCACGAAAGCGUGGGGAGCAAACAGG